rnacentral:snRNA from 1 species
AUACUUACCUGGCAGGGGAGAUACCAUGAUCAAGAAGGUGGUUCACCCAGUUCUAGUCUUUGAGUACAGUCUUUGCUGUUGCCGUGCGGUGUAUGGGGCACAAGUGAAGAACAUUGUUGGAGGUUGUCUUUC